rnacentral:rRNA from 1 species
GUAAAGCACUUUCAGUCGUGAGGAAGGUAGUGUAGUUAAUAGCUGCAUUAUUUGACGUUAGCGACAGAAGAAGCACCGGCUAACUCCGUGCCAGCAGCCGCGGUAAUACGGAGGGUGCGAGCGUUAAUCGGAAUUACUGGGCGUAAAGCGCAUGCAGGUGGUUUGUUAAGUUCAGAUGUGAAAGACCCGGGGCGUCAACCUCGGAAUAGCAUUUGAAACUGGCAGACUAGAGUACUGUAGAGGGGGGUAGGAAGUUUCAGGUGUAGCGGUGAAAUGCGUAGAGAUCUGAAGGAAUACCGGUGGCGAAGGCGGCCCCCUGGACAGAUACUGACACUCAGAUGCGAAAGCGUGGGGAGCAAACAGGAUUAGAUACCCUGGUAG